rnacentral:rRNA from 1 species
CAGCUGUAAACGAUGCGCGUUAGGUGUAUCGGUGACCACGAGUCACCGAGGUGCCGAAGGGAAACCGUGAAACGUGCCGCCUGGGAAGUACGGUCGCAAGGCUGAAACUUAAAGGAAUUGGCGGGGGGAGCACCGCAACCGGGAGGAGCGUGCGGUUCAAUUGGAUUCAACGCCGGACAACUCACCAGGAGCGACGGUUACAUGAAGGCCAGGCUGAUGACCUCGCCUGAUUUUCCGAGAGGAGGUGCAUGGCGUAGUCGUGU